CUGUAGGGCACAUCAAAUAUAGCAGGUAGUGCUAUACCUAGUUUAGAUUAGUUUAGUUUUAAGUAAAGACCCUUGAAAAAAAUCGGAGAUCUUGAGAAAUUCAAGAAUUCUCUGAUAAGUGUCUUUGAGGAAAAGGAACUCUCAUAGAUGCUGUAGGGCACAUCGAAUAUAACACUACAUGAACUACCAGGACUCUGGUAGUUCAGGUAGUGCUAUACCUAGUUUAGAUUUAAGUAAAGACCCUUGAAAAAAAUUGGAGAUAUUCUUUAGAAAUCCAAGAAUUCUCCAAUAAGUAUCUUUGAGAGAAAAAACUCUCAUAGAUGUUGUAGGACAAACAAUCGGUCUGUUUCUUGAUAUGUUUCAGGUACAUCGUGGCUUCUCUUCUCCAGUGUACACAUGUUCAAAACUAUUUAGUGUACAUGAAAUAGUUACUAAUAUUAAAAUUAUUCUAUUUUACAAUUUAUAUUAUACAAUUCAUUUGUUUUUAAGUACCAUAUGUUUCAGGUUCAUCGCAGCAUCUCUUCUCAAAUAUACAUUAGAUCUCAGUUAUUCUUUCAUUUUCACUCAGUGAUCAUUUUACAUUUUGAAUUUUUGCUUUUUAUCUACAUUGUAUUUGAUUCUUCUGUUUCUGUUACAAGUCCUUUGUUUCAGAUCCAUCUCAGCCCAUCUUCUCAAAAGCUGACAUAUUUUUAUCCAUGUUAACUAUGUGCAUGCUUUGAAUGAUCUUUGUUGCUUCUGGAACAAGUUGAGAAUUUUAUCAACAUUUGUUUUUGCACUGUUCUUACAUUAUAAAAUUUCAUCUUCAUUCUCAUAGACGAACAUUGGAAUACCUUCUAUAGAGUGAAGCCUUCAACGAUUCUUAUAAUAAAGCCUAUGUUCUUACGUCCGGAAUUUUAUUAGUGAAGUUCAGUACCGAAGUUAACUAGUGCAAUUACAACAGUGAUAAUUCAGUGGUUAGUGAAGUGAAUGUAUAACUGUUUUUACUUCAAGACGAAGGUUUGGCUACCCUACUUCAUGACUUAAAGAUUAUAAAAUUUCAUCUUCAUUCUCAUAGACGAACAUUGGAAUACCUUCUAUAGAGUGAAGCCUUCAACGAUUCUUAUAAUAAAGCCUAUGUUCUUACGUCCGGAAUUUUAUUAGUGAAGUUCAGUACCGAAGUUAACUAGUGCAAUUACAACAGUGAUAAUUCAGUGGUUAGUGAAGUGAAUGUAUAACUGUUUUUACUUCAAGACGAAGGUUUGGCUACCCUACUUCAUGACUUAGAGAAAUGUCAAAUUGUUGUCGAGAUGAAAGUGAGGUGUUUGAGGUGGCUGGGACACGUUGAGAGGAUGAGUGACUCAAGAGUUGUAAAACAGGUCCUCAGAAACAACCCAGGAGGGAGAAGGCUGAGAAGACGUCCGCGAAAGCGUUGGCUGGAGGAUUUGGAGGACGAUAUUAGGUGGCUGGGUGUCAGGGGAUGGAGACGAAAGGCUGCUGAUAGAGACGAAUGGAGAGGCUUUCUGAAGGAGGUCAAGGCUCAGAAUUAGCUGUAGUGCCAAGGAGUAAGUAAGUAUUUGUUUUCACUUUUUGUGUAGUUGAGAAGUUGAUAUUGUGGUAAUUAUUCAUAUUAAAUAAGAAGACUAACAAAUUGUCAAAAAAUAUCACAGAUUUAUUGA